ensembl:piRNA 21ur-5274 ncRNA
UUGGAGAGCGAAAUAGUCUCU